CCUUCUGUCAGGUGCAUCGCGAUCGUAUUUCGAGUUGCCCGAAAUGGUGUGUGAGAGCGGUGAGAGCUAAACACCCGCAGGAGUGUGCCUCAUACCCGUUUCUAAUCUGUCGGACAAAACACGACUGGUCUUCGGAGCGUCGACCUGAACCGGCGGACUCGGUACGUGACAUCUAAACACCCGCAGACGGUCGUUGCCGGUGGAAAUGCCCAGAUUGUCAACUCGCGGAAGCCAUUCAUCGACUCUUCCAGAGGAGUGAAUUCUCCCAACCUCCAGGCCAUGCAUCAUACCCGGUUCAAAUCUUCCGGACACAACACGAACGGGCUUAGGAGCGUCCUCCUGAAACCGGCGAACUCGGUACGUGACAGCUAAACACCUGCAGACGGACGCCAAAGAGUUUCGACCGCGAGACGGAGUAAGUUCCCCCAACCUCCAGGCUGUGCAUCAUACCCGAUUCCAAUCUGCCGGACAAAACAUGACCGGGCUUCGGAGCGUCCUCCUGAAACCGGCGGACUCGGUGCGUGACAGCGAAACA